GCAGGAGUCUUUAGAACAUCUGUUUUAUGGAGGAUUCUAAGGCUAUAGUGUUCAUCAAGUAGGUACAACAGAAGACUAGGAAUCAACACCAAGUUUUGCACUGCGCUAACUGCCUGAAAUACUUUGUGGCUUCAUGAGAGACAUACUUCUUCAGAAACCAAUCACAGGAAGCAGAGGGAAGAGAGACCAAGCAGCAUCAGAAAGCAGGCAUGGAGUGGCUUUGCCACUGCCAUCUUUAGAAGACAGACCUUGCCUCUCAGAGCAGACUCGGCUCUCUGAGAUCCUUUCCAGACUGAGGUUGCAUUCCCCCAACCCCCAGAAGACUCCUUGCCUCUCUUUCCACAGGGUUUUACAACAUCAUUUGAGAUAUAUAAAUGAAGAUAUUUCUUCCGGGUAUCAAGCCCAUCUGUGGAUAUUAUUUAAUGAAAUGGGAAGGAAGGAUACAAACCAAAUGGUACCAGGGACAGUCAGGCAAGUUCCAGAUCUCAGCAACGCAACCCAAACAAGAGAGGCAGGAAGAGAUGAGAUACCGGCAACCAACACCUGGACAGAGCUCGCUCCAAGGAAGACCGAAGCCUUGUUUUGUUCGAAGGCUUGCUUUCACAUAGUUUGCUCUCCAACUAGAUUAAAACC
rnacentral:lncRNA from 1 species